AUUUUCAGAAACCUUAGUCAAAUAGAGGGCUUGAAUUCCGUUUAGGUAAUGGGUUUCUUAACCAUUAUAUUUUAUUGAUGCUAAGACACAAUAUUUUUUCACAUUUUAAUAGAUCUGAAAUGGAAAUAUCUCUUACAGUUGAAUGUGUGUGUAUAUGUAUGUGUGUGCACACACGCAUAUGCAUGCACAUGUCCAUAUAUUUAGUUUUGAUGUAGUGUCCAUGCAGCUGAUAUUCAACCACACUCGUAUAGCAUACUUUGCAGAUACUUUAGUAUAUUUCCUGACUGGUCAGUGCCCUCAUUGGCCCCAUAUUGGUUAUUAAAGUUUUAAAUAUCAGAAGUAUUUUAAUUUUUCCCCACUUUCUAAAUAACAAAUGAUCUAUUUUUUAGGUUGGAAGCUUUCUUAGAAUCUAUAGCCUUCAUACCAAACUUCAAUCAAUGAAUUCAGAGAAUCAGACAAUGUUAAGUUUAGAGUUUCAUCUUCAUGGAGGUACCAGUUACGGUCGGGGAAUCAGGGUCUUGCCAGAAAGUAACUCUGAUGUGGAUCAACUGAAAAAGGAUUUAGAAUCUGCAAAUUUGACAG
rnacentral:lncRNA from 10 species